GAUGAACGCUGGCGGCGUGCUUAACACAUGCAAGUCGAGCGAUGAAGUUUCCUUCGGGAAACGGAUUAGCGGCGGACGGGUGAGUAACACGUGGGUAACCUGCCUCAUAGAGUGGAAUAGCUUUCCGAAAGGAAGAUUAAUACCGCAUAACGUUGAAAGAUGGAAUCAUCAUUCAACCAAAGGAGCAAUCCGCAAUGAGAUGGACCCGCGGCGCAUCAGCUCGUUGGUGGGGUAACGGCCUACCAAGGCGACGAAGCGUAGCCGACCUGAGAGGGUGAUCGGCCACAUUGGGACUGAGACACGGCCCAGACUCCUACGGGAGGCAGCAGUGGGGAAUAUUGCACAAUGGGGAAACCCUGAUGCAGCAACGCCGCGUGAGUGAUGAAGGUUUUCGGAUCGUAAAGCUCUGUCUUUGGGGAAGAUAAUGACGGUACUCAAGGAGGAAGCCACGGCUAACUACGUGCCAGCCGCCGCAGUAA
rnacentral:rRNA from 1 species